GGUUGGAGGAAUUUGUGGGGUGGAUGGAGAGAGAGGGCGAAGAGAGAAAGAUGGAGGAGUUGAGAGAGGCUUUUAGGAUGUAUGAGAUGGAAGGGAGUGAGUGUAUUACUCCAAAGAGCUUGAAGAGGAUGCUGAGUAGAUUGGGGGAGUCGAGAAGUGUGGAAGACUGCAGUGUUAUGAUCCGACAGUUUGAUGUAAAUGGGGAUGGGGUUCUGAGCUUUGAUGAGUUCAAGCUCAUGAUGCUUUAAUAUUGUUGGAUCAUCUUUUAUGUGAAUGUUGUAUUCUUUUUAGAUUUAAAAACAGUGGAUUGUAUUCAAGAUUCUUUCUAUACAUAGGAUUAUAUAUGAUUUUUUCUUUGUUUUUGAGUCAAUAAUGUUUAUGUUUUGUGAAUGAAUGAUUGUUUGGGGGCAAUCUUUAAGAGGAUGUUUGGAACUGUGAACCAAAUUUUGUAAGUCAUAUGAAAGGUCAGCUGGCUUUGCAUCCAGUACAGAUGGAACUUCAUGUGAAUGUUAAAAGUAAAUUACUUACAAAGUAAAGAGGAGUCAAAUUCAAUUUCUAGGAUGGUCAUUUUUUUUGUAAUAAAUAUAUAACAAAAUAAUUAUAAUCUUAAUAUAGCAUGAGCAUUAAUUAAAAUCAAUUUAAAUUAGAAAGUUAUCCUUUCCAUGGUUAGAACAGCUAAAACUCUAGGGUUUGGAACUAUUUUUAAUAAUGGUUUUCUGUUCUCUAGAGUAAAAAAAUUAUAGAAAAUCAAUCAAAAAUUAUUUUCUGUUCUCUGUUCGAACAAAAAUCAAGAUGUUUUCAAAAACCAUCUUUUAGUUGUUUUUUAUUGUUACAUUUGCUUUUUUUUUUUUUUGAAGGUUUUUUUAAGAAAUAAUUAUAUAAACAUAUAAAAUGAUUAAAAAUAAAAUACUAAAUGUAAAAAUUAUUUUUAAAAUUAUUAAAACAAGUUAAAAAUAUUUUUCAAAUAUUUUUAAUUACUCUAUUUGAAUGAAUCAACUUAACUUAUUUGAAAGAAUGAAUAAGUAAAAAUAAAUAAAAAUGUUGAUAAAAUAAAAUUAUAAGAGAUGAAAUUAUAUGGAGAAUAUGAUAUCUAUUCUUCCAUUUAAAGUAAAUAUAAUAUAUAUACAAAAUUCAAAUGAUUUAUAGAACAUAUAAUCACUUCACAAAAUAAAGUUUUAAAAUAUGUAAAAAUAAAAAGACCUAGCAUUGAAAGAAAAUUAAUAAAAGUAUUAAUUUAAAAAAAUUAAGCUUAAAAUAAUAAUAAUAAUAAUAAUAAUAAUAAUAAUGAAUUAGGCUUUCAAAAUUAUUUAGAUAAUAAAAUUAAGCAAAAGAAUUCAUAACUAAAGACUAAGGUGAUAUUUUUUUAAAAUUUUUGUUGAAAAUAAUUUGUUUUUGGAUUUAAUAUAAUUUUUUUAAUUUAUUAUUUAUUUCUAUUUUUUUUAUUGAAAUGAAAAAGUUAAAAUAUUUAACUUUUUUUUAAUGCUAAAAGUGCAUUAUCAUAAUUAAAGUAAUUUUUUUUUUUUUUACUUUUUAAUGCUUAAUAAAAAUAAUUAAAAAAACAAACAAUUUAAUACAUAACACUAUUAAACACCUUUUAGUUUUAAAUUCUAUUUAGAAUAAAGUCAAAAAAUUGAACACUACCUAACACUUUACGUGACAUCCCACAUCAGAUAUGGGGGGAAAGUUCUUGGUAUGGACUCAUCGUAAUCCUGUAAACACGUUUUAAAGUUGUGAGGGUCUCUUUAGGUCCAAAGCGGAUAAUAUUUACACGGUUGGGAGCAGACCAUUACAAACGAUAUCAAAACCGAUCCCUGACCUCGGUGUGAGGUUUGUUUGAGCUUAUAAGAGUAUUUGUUUGUUUAACCCCAUAAUCCCGUAAGACACAACGAAAACGUUGUGUCUGCAUGGGGGUGACUUUUAAAGUCGUGAGGUAUCUACACCAUAUAAAAUAAAUAAGUAGAAAUAUUAUUAGUGUAAUUGAAUUUUAUAUUUUGAAAUUAUAUUGAUAUUUAAAAAAAAUAGUUAAAUAAAAAUUAACUUCCGAUAUUGUAUUUUAAAAAAAAUGCACAACUCUUCCUACCUUUUUUUUUUAGUACAUCCAUAAAUCAAGUUAAAAGUUAGCGGGUUGAUUAAAAGUUAGCAAGUUGAUGUUUGAAAAUUCUAUCCACGUGAUAUUUGAUGUUAAAAGAAAUGGAACUUUAAUAUGUUUAAUAAUUUAAAUUAAGUGAUUAAAUUAUUAAAUUAAGUUAUCAAAUAUUUUUAAAAUUUUCUAAUGUGUUAAUUAUGAUAAAGAAAUUAUUUUUCCAUCUUAUGUAAAAAAAAUAUUUGAUAAUAUAUUAAAAAUAAAUGUAAUUGGGAAAAAGUUUAGAAGUUGUGUCAUUCAUCCAUGCUGAGGUGUAGGUGGCAGUGUGUAGAAGUAGAUAGGUUGUUUGAACUUUGAAACUAGUUCUGACGUUAGCUUGUUGUUCUACAGAAGACCACUAUUUUUUAUUUUAUUUUUUAUGUUUUAAUUUUGUAAACAUGUUUCUCGUUUGUCGCACCAUUCCCACCACAUGUCCAAGUGGAUUGAAAAAGCAAAAGGCCAGAACAAAGUAUUCGUCUACGAAGCGGUUUUGACCGUUGUACAGUCAAUAAUCUAGAACAUACGCAUUACGUGACGUCUCCAGCACUCGCUUCGCUUCAUUCUCCAGAACUUCCUAGUAAAGUCUCGAUUCUUCACUCUCAAAAUCUCUAUACCCAACAGCUCCAUCUACUCCUUUUACGCGUCCCCACAACAGCUAUAUAUAUGCACACACAAAGUGUUCAUCCUCACAUCUUCACAUCUUACUACAAAUUAAGUGUUAUUUACAUUAAUUUUCAUUAACAUCCUUGUGUUGCCACAUCCAUGAUUAACUGCGAUGUGUAUGAACGCAUUUUCAAGCGCUUCGAUGAAGAUGGUGAUGGGAAACUCUCUCCUUCGGAGCUCCGAUGCUGCUUGGGGACGAUAGGGGAGGAGCAGCCGAUGGAGGAGGCGCAGGAGGUGGUGGAGUCGAUGGACUCGGACGGAGAUGGGUUGCUGGGAUUGGAGGAAUUUGUGGGGUGGAUGGAGAGAGAGGGUGAAGAGAGAAAGAUGGAGGAUUUGAGAGAGGCCUUUAGGAUGUAUGAGAUGGAAGGGAGUGGGUGUAUUACUGCAAAGAGCUUGAAAAGGAUGCUGAGUAGAUUGGGGGAGUCAAGAAGUGUGGAAGAGUGCAGUGUUAUGAUCGGACAAUUUGAUGUAAAUGGGGAUGGGGUUCUGAGCUUUGAUGAGUUCAAGCGCAUGAUGCUUUAAUCUUGUUUAACAUCUUUUAUCUGAAUGUUGUAUUUUUUUUUUUAGAUUUAAGAAGAGUGGUUUGUAUUCAAAAAUUAAGAUUCUCCUCAUUGCUUUCCUCGUGCACAUGGUGAAGAAAAUACUCCCUAUUCUAUAUUUGAUUUUGCAUAAAAAUUCCUUUUACGGCAAAGAGCAAGUGUGAUAAAAUUUAAGUUGAUUUUUAAAUUAAAUUGUUAGUUCAAAUCAUUUUCUCUCUGUGUUUGUAAAAUACUCAUAUUAAAAAUAUUAUAAAAAUACAUAAUAUUAUUACAUAAAAUAAUAAUGAAAUAUAUAUCAUGGAAAAAAUGAAGUAUUAAAUUAUUUUAUAUUUUUAAAAAGUUAUUUAGUCUAAGUUAUUGUUUUGCAUUAUUUUAACUUUAAAUUAUAUAGAAUUAAUUUACCAAUAAGCCUAGACCCCAUUUGAAAUAGAGUUUAACUUUUGCCCUAAUAAUAAAUAAGUAGAAGUAUAAGUAUUAUUAGUGUAAUUGAAUUUUAUAUUUUGGAAUGAUAUCUAUCCCCGCAAAUUUAGGCAGUCUUGUAAAAUAAGUAAAACUAUUGAAAAAAUAUGAGAAUAAAAAUUUUGCAUUAAAAUAAUUAUCGGGGUGCACAAUCCAUAGGACGAUAAUGAAUUGGAGUUCAAGAUCAAUUAAGGACCUUUUUUUUUUUUUUUUAAGUGGGAAGUUGUUUUUCACAAUUUUAUCAUUGAAGGAAGUUAUCUGUAUUUGUAAGUGAAGUUAGAGAAUUAAAUUUGGAAUACCGAAGAUUUGAUUAUUUAAUUCAAGAAGUUUGGUUUCUUAAAGUUAACAACUUGUCUAAUUUAUUUAGGAAAUUAGUCAAUAAGAGAAUAUUUAUUUUCAAUUUUCUUUUGAUUUUGUCUUUUUUUAUUGAGGAAAUUUGUUAAUAAAAAAUAUAUAUUUUUAAUUCUCUCCUAAACUUUAAUGAUUUGAUUUAAUUUUAUUUUGUAAUACUUCUAAAUUUCAUGAGGUGUCACAUUUGAAUAGUCAUAGAAGUGCCUUCACAAAUGUAAAUAUAAUUACAUUUGAUCUCAUUGUAACCAUAUCGAGAAGUCGAUACACGACUCAUAUUGUAAACUCUCCCUAGAAGUUGACUACACACUUAUUUGGUAAAUUACAAUAGUAAAAGAAAAAGAACACAAAAUAUGCACCUAGCCCAAAGUUGGAUGAGAUUUACUUUUGUGAAUAUUAACAUUAACACUAUGUUUGGUUCAUAGAACAUUUGAGAGAAAGAAAAUAGGUAAGAAUCGAAAUAAAAAAAAAAGAAAAAGUUAAGAAAAAUAAAAAAUAAAGUUGAAGUCGAUAAAUUAUUUUUAUUUACUACUAUAAACUCAUUUUAUUUAUUUUAACUCAUCAGUAUAAGGAUUAAAUAAUUUAAAUUUUAAAAAUGUAUAAAUUUUUAAUUAAUUUUAAUUAUAUUUAAUUUUCUUGAAAAUUGUUUCUAGAACAAUCAAAUAUAAGAAAAUCAUUUUUUUAAAUAUUUUUUUUAAUACUUUUCGUGCACCAAAUAUAACUUAAAAGUAUUUUUAUUUUUUAUAUAAAAUAUCACUAUCCUAUUAUUAAACAAAUCAAGGGUCUGUUUAAAAAUAAAUUAUUUUCCAUGGGUAUAAAUAUCUCAAAAAGAUAAUAAAAAAGCCACAUUUAAUUUACUAAUAUAAAAAAGUCCACACCUGAUAAAUCUUUUCCACCUCAUGUCUAGGCAGAUAGAAGGGAGAAAGAGACCAAAAAGACAAACUAGCUUUCUGUGGCGGUUGAGUGUUUUGACCGUUGUAGAUGUAAUUCUAUCUCAAUUUAAUCCAGGCAGCUUCUCACUUUCUUCCCCCAAAAAAUCCAUCAAUUACGCACUCCCUGACACCGUGAUCCAUGCUUUCUUCUUCUCAUCUUCAACUUCAAAACUUCCAAGUUUCCAAUCCUUUUAUGCGUCUCAUAAAGCUAUAUAUAGACUCACAAAUUGUUAUUCACAACACUCCAAGCAUCCAAGUUCUUGCGGUAAGCAGCCAUGAUUAACUGCAGCAUAUAUGAACGCAUAUUCAAGCGCUUUGAUGAAGAUGGUGAUGGGAAACUCUCUCCUUCGGAGCUUCGAAGUUGCGUGGGGACGAUAGGGGAGGAGCUGCUGAUGGAGGAGGCGCAGGAGGUGGUGGAGUCGAUGGACUCAGACGGGGAUGGGUUGGUGGGUUUGGAGGAAUUUGUGGGGUGCAUGGAGAGAGAGGGCGAAAAGAGAAAGAUGGAGGAGUUGAGAGAGGCUUUUAGGAUGUAUGAGAUGGAAGGGAGUGGGUGUAUUACUCCAAAGAGCUUGAAGAGGAUGCUGAGUAGAUUGGGGGAGUCGAGAAGCGUGGAGGAGUGCAGUGUUAUGAUCAGGCAGUUUGAUGUUAAUGGCGAUGGGGUUAUGAGCUUUUAUGAGUUCAAGCUCAUGAUGCUUUAAUAUUGUUUGAUACCUUCCACAUGAAUUUUAUAUUCUUUUUAGAUUUAUAAAGAGUGAUUUGUAUUCAAGAUUCUUUCUACAUAAGGGUCUCCAACGGGCCGGGCCGGGCCGUCCGGCUCGGAGGAGUAAGACCCAUGGCCCAGCUCGAGGCGGGCCACUGAGUCAACGGGCCAGGCCGGGCCGGGCCCUUGGUAUAUCUAAGGCCCGUGGCCCAGCCUGUGGGCCCUCAAGCUGGGCGGGCCGACUGGGGAAAAAAUUAAAAUAGUUUUUAGUUUUGAAGGGAAGAGGUUCGAAAUCCCCUUCCCUUAUGGAUCCAUAAGGGAGCUAGCCACCAACUGAGCUAGUCCUCUUUUGUGUAACUAUUUUGCAUUAGUUAUAUAUAUAUAUAUUAGAAAUGUUGUAUGAUUUUUGAAAAAAUAUAAAAGUGAGUUGGCUGUUCAACGGUCACAUGACUCACAUGACCGUUGAACAUGUCUGCCACUCAAUUCAAUAUUAUGACCGUUGAACGAUCUUGAUUAAAAAAAAAAGAAAUAAUAAAUCCUAAUAUUUAAAUCUCUAUAAAUAUUAAAUACCCUCAAUUUUUUUCUAUUCUCUCAACUCUUAAGCUCUCUCCCAUUCCACAAUAUUUCCGAUUAUUGCAUUUUAUCUCAAAUUAUUCAAUAUUAUUGAUGGUGAAAAACAAGCAUUGGUGGUUCAAAAAGUUCAAAUUUGAAGGAAUUUCUGCUUCGGUUCUCUAAUUUAGUAACAUACUUCACCUUUACUUUUAUUUAUUUGUUACAUUUUAAUUUUACAUUUAUUAUUUUUAGCAUAAUAUUUUAUCAAUAAUUAUAAUUAUGGCAAGUGGUUCUUGUUCUUCAUCUAAUACAUGUGAUAGCAAAAAAUUUACAUCAAAUAUAUGGAAUUUUUUUGAUAGAAUAGAAAUAAAUUUAGAAAAUAAUAAAAAAGAAAUAAAAGCAAAAUGUAAAAUUUGUAACAAACUUCUUAGUGGUGGCUCAAAUGCAGGUACAAGUCAUUUAAAAAGGCAUCAUGAAAAUUGUAAAACUAAAAAUAAUGUAGAUAUUAGAAAUUAUAUGCAAUUAGGUAAAGAUGAAAGUGGAAAUUUAAAAACAUUUUCUUAUGAUGAAUCUUAUUGUUGUGAAGAAAUGAUUGGUUAUAUAAUAAGAGCAGAACAACCUUUCAAUUUCAUGGAAACUCAUGAUUUUACGGGAACAAUGCAACGAGCUGUUAAUCCUCAGUUUUAAGGUUGCUCUGGAAAUACAGUUAAAAGAAUUCUUAUAAAAAAUUUUGAAACACAAAAAGAAAAUUAAAAAUUUUUUUUUGCAAAUUUUGAAGAAAGAAUUUGUUUAACAUCUGAUAUUUGGACAUCUUUAACUCAUAGUGGUUUUUUUAUAUAUAACUGCUCAUUAUAUUGAUAAUGAAUGAAAAUUAAAUAAAAGAAUUAUUUCAUUUAAAAUAAUAAAUGCUCCAUAUAAUGGUAAAAAUAUAGCAUCUUUAAUAAAUGAUGAAAUUAUAGAUUUUGGCAUUCGUGAUAAAAUAUUUACAAUAACAUUAGAUAAUGCUUCUAAUAAUGAUGCAGCAGUAUCUAGAUUAAAACGAUAUUGGCAAAUAAAAGAAGAUCAAUGUAAAAUAUUUCAUGUGCGUUGUUGUGCACAUAUUUUAAAUUUCAUUGUAAAAGAUGGAUUAAAACACGUUGAUGAUACAUUAUAAAAAAUUAGAGGCAUUGCUGCGGGUCUUAAUAGUUCUCAAGCAAAACAUGAAUUAUUUUUUUAUUGUUGCAAAAUGUUAAAUAUGAAAAAAAGAAAUAUAAAUUUGGAUAUGCCCACUAGAUGGAAUUCCACUUAUAAACUUUUACAAACUAUUACAAAAUAUAGAAAAGUAGUAGAACUAUAUGAAAUACAAUUAAUUAACAAUGAUUGUGAAACAAAUAUUGAUGUAUUAAAUGAUUAUUAUUGGCAUAUUGCAGAUCUUUUAAGAGAUCUUUUUGAAGUAUUUGAUACUUCAACAAAAAAUUUUUGUGGUGUAUAUUAUCCAUCUUCAAACCGAGUUGUCAUGCAAAUAACUAAUAUUUUUAUUGUACUUCAAAAAUAUUUAAAUUUGGAUAUAUUUAAUGAUGCAAUAUUUGCAAUGAUAGAAAAAUUUAGAAAAUAUUGGGGAGAAAUACCUUUAAUUUUUUAUCUUGGUUUUGUGGACCCUAGAUUGAAAUUUGAAACUUUGGAUGAAUGGUUAACAAUUAUUUAUUUUAAUGACCAAAUAAAAAUUGAAGAAAUUAAAAAUGAAAUAAAUUCAUUAUUAUAUAAUUUAUAUAACUAUUAUAAAGAAAAAUAUGGUGAUGAUAUUAGUUCUAUUAAAUUACCACCUAUAUCUACAAGUUCUUCAUCUUUUUAUAAAGGAGCUCUAGAAAUGUUAAAAAGUUGAAAGAAGAUAACAAAUAGUUCUCCAAACAACACAACUGAUUUAGAUAGAUAUCUUAAUAUUGAUUUAAUUUCAUUUGAAGAUGAUGAAGAUUUUGAUAUUUUAAUAUGGUGGAAAUCACAACAACACAAAUAUCCUGUGCUUUCUAUCAUUGCUCGUGAUGUACUAACAGUUCUUGUGAGUACAGUUGCAUCAGAAGCUGCUUUUAGUGUAGGUGGAAGAGUAGUUAGUGAUAAACGAUGCAACUUAGCGCCGGAUUCUAUUGAAGCAAAUAUAUGUGUGAAAGACUGGACAAUAGUAGAUAAAAGGAUAUUUGAUUCUAUUCAAGAAGAAAAUAUGCUUGUCGAUAUGGAAAAACUAAAAUCAUCAAGAUCUUCAUGGAUUUGCGAUAGUUCGCCAACACCGCCAAGAGAUAAUGAUUAAAAUAUUUUACUAAAUGUAUGUCAUAUUUUUAUUUUUAUUUUUGUAGUUGAAAAGUACAAAUGAUUGACAAAUAAGUAGGUGCCAACCUAGUUGGGAUGUAUUUAUUUUGUAGUGAUGUAAACUUUUCCCACAUUUUCAAAUGUAACGUAUACAUUCAAUGAAUAAAAUAGUUAGCAAUGAAUAUUUUUAUUAAUGUAGUAUUUUCUAUUUCUUGAAUAUUUAUAUAUAUAUAUAUAUUUAAGUGGCGGGCCUACGGGCGGGCCAGCCCACCGGGCCUAAAUUGGAGCCCAUGGCUCGGUCCAUCCAAAAAUGGGCUCGAGCCGGGCCGGGCCUAGGCCAGGCCGCGGGCUUUUUAGAGACCCUUAUUUCCACAUAUACAGAGGAAUAUGAUUUUUUUUUCUUUCCACUCUAUAACAUUUAUAUAUAUAUAUAUAUAUAUAUAUAUGUUCUGUACAUGAUUGUUUGGGCCAAUUAAACUCUCAAGGGUGUGUGGAACCCUGCACUAGUCUUGUUAUAUACGGUAACUCAACUGACUUUAAAUGGAAGUUGGUGCUUUAACACAUAGCGUUAAUAUGUUUAGUAACUUAAAUUAAUUUAUUAAACAAUUCUAUAUCUUUUUAAUAUGCCAACCAAGGGAAUUAUAGCAUUUUUCUCAUUCAUGCUAAGGAAUUAGUGAAAGUAUGGAUUGUGAAGUUAACAUAUAACAACUCGCGCUUAACUGUAUAGAUAUUAUCCUCUCUAAGUCCUAAAGGGCCCUUACAGCUUUAAAAUGUAUCUACAUGAUUUAGAGAGAUCUAUACUUAUAUAGUAUCAUAAAUUUUCUCUCAUAUUCAAUAUGGGGUAUCAUAAACACCCUCUAUGCAAAUAUAACGUUCUCGUUGUAUUCCAUGAUAUUAUGGGGUAAAACAGAUAAACAAUCCUUAUAGGGCCAAAUAUACCCCCACACCAAGAUCGAUGAUUAGUUCUAAUAUCACUUAUAACGACAUGUAUCUAACCAUGUAGAUAUUUUUCGCUCUAGAAAUUGGAUAUGAGAGAAAGUUUAUGACGUUAUAUAUGUAGAGGUUCCUCUUAAUUCUAUAAACGCAUUUUAAAAUUGUGAAGACCCCUUUGGAUUCAGAGUUGAUAAUAUCUACACAGUUGGAUGAGGUUCGUUAUCUAACAUCUUAUUUUGUUAAUUAAUUUCCAACUAAUUGUCACUAUGUUCAAUGAAUCCCUUCAUCUAUAAAGAAAAGAAAAGGGGGUUGAGUUGGGAGCCUACAAUUUCUCUUAUUGUGGAUGUUUUCUGAAUGCAUUAUUGAGUAGUCAUAGAAGUGCCUUCUUAACUGUCAAUAAAAUUACAUUUGAUCUCAUUGUAACCAUAUCGAGAAGUCGAUACAUGACUCAUAUUGUAAACUCUCUCUAGAAGUUGACUACAAACUUAUUUGGUAAAUUACAAUAGUAAAAGAAAAAGAACACAAAAUAUGCACCUAGCCAAAGUUGGAUGAGAUUUACUUUUGUGAAUAUUAACAUUAAGGCUAUGUUUGGUUCGUAGAAAAUUUGAGAGAAAGAAAAUAGAUAAGAAAAUAAAUAAGAAAAAAAAAGUGAAGAAAAAUAAAAAAAAUAGAGUUGAAAUUGAUAAAUUAUAUUUAUUUACUACUUUAAAUUCAUUUUAUUUAUUUUAACUCAUCAUUAUAAAGAUUAAAAAAUUUAAAAUUUAAAAAUAUAUAAGUUCUUAAUUAAUUUUAAUUAUAUUUAAUUUUCUUGAAAAUUCUUUCUAGAACAAUCAAAUAUAAGAAAAUUAUUUUUCUUGAUAUUUUUUUCUUUUCUUAAUACUUUUCGUGCACCAAAUAUAACUUAAAAGUAUUUUUAUUUUUUAUAUAAAAUAUCACAUAUAAUUUUAUAAAAUCUAUCCUAUUAUUAAACAAAUCAAGGGUCUGUUUAAAAAUAAAUAAAUAAAUAAUUUUCCAUGGGUGUAAAUAUCUCAAAAAGAUAAUAAAAAAGCCACAUUUAAUUUACUAAUAUAAAAAAGUCCACACCUGAUAAAUCUUUUCCACCUCAUGUCUAGGCAGAUAGAAGGGAGAAAGAGACCAAAAAGACCAACUAGCUUUCUGUGGCGGUUGAGUGUUUUGACCGUUGUAGAUGUAAUUCUAUCUCAAUUUAAUCCAGGCAGCUUCUCACUUUCUUCCCCCAAAAAAUCCAUCAAUUACGUACGCACUCCCUGACACCGUGAUCAAUGCUUUCUUCUUCUCAUCUUCAACUUCAAAACUUCCAAGUUCCAAUCCUUUUACGCGUCUCAUAAAGCUAUAUAUGGACUCACAAAUUGUUAUUCACAACACUCCAAGAAUCCAAGUUCUUGCGGUAAGCAGCCAUGAUUAACUGCAGCAUAUAUGAACGCAUAUUCAAGCGCUUUGAUGAAGAUGGUGAUGGGAAACUCUCUCCUUCGGAGCUUCGACGUUGCGUGGGGACGAUAGGGGAGGAGCUACUGAUGGAGGAGGCGCAGGAGGUGGUGGAGUCGAUGGACUCAGACGGGGAUGGGUUGGUGGGGUUGGAGGAAUUUGUGGGGUGGAUGAAGAGAGAGGGCGAAGAGAGAAAGAUGGAGGAGUUGAGAGAGGCUUUUAGGAUGUAUGAGAUGGAAGGGAGUGGGUGUAUUACUCCAAAGAGCUUGAAGAGGAUGCUGAGUAGAUUGGGGGAGUCGAGAAGCGUGGAGGAGUGCAGUGUUAUGAUCAGGCAGUUUGAUGUUAAUGGCGAUGGGGUUCUGAGCUUUGAUGAGUUCAAGCUCAUGAUGUUUUGAUAUUGUAAUGAUUAUAUAUAUGAUUUUUAUUUCCUUUUCCGGUGAAUAACAUUUAUGCCUUAAUUAAAACACUUCAUCGUCUUAUCUAUUAUUAUUAUUGAAACUAAAUAAAAACCCUAUUAGUUACUAUCAAUGACAAAAUAAAAUUUAAAAUAUUAAAAAUACAAUUAAAACUAAAAAAAAUCAAUAAUAAAUAAUGCCAAAACAAAAUAUUGGUUUUCUACCAAAAAAUUAAAAAAAAAAAUAGUUUUCUAUUAAAAGUUUGUCACUUUAUCAAUGUCUAUAAUUUCUUAUAAAAAAAAUAUUUUGAUGGAUCCUAAAUAUUUUCAUAGUGAUCCUUUUCAAUCUAACUCUAGGUCAUUAGUAUAUAUGCAUUGCUUCCAUAAUAAUACCGAAUUUAUUUUUAUUUAAUUAAAUCUUUUUUUCUUAAAUGCGAGAUCAUUAUAACAAAAUCCUUUUAAAUUUAAUUACUCUAUUUGAAUAAAUCGAUUUUACUUAUUUGAAAGAAUGAAAAAUAUGAUAUUUGAUGUUUGAAAAUUCCAUCUUUGUACCUUUAAAAUCUAAUUUUAAAAAGGAUGGAACUUUAAUAUGCUUAAUAACAUAAAUUAAUUUAUCAAAUGCUUAUAAAAUUUUCUAAUAUUUUAAGUAUGAUAAACAAUUUAUUUUUCAAUCUUAUGUAAAAAAUAUUUGCUAAUGUAUUAAAAAUAAAUGUAAUUGGGAAAAAGCUUGUAAGUUGUGUCAUUCAUCCAUGCUGAGGAGUCAGUAGCAGUGUGAAGAAGUUGAUAGGUUGUCUGAAAAACCAGUUGAGUCUUUUGACGUUAGCUUGUUGUUCUACAGAAGAACACUAUUUUUUUUAUUUUUUUUUAUUUUAUUUUUUAUGUUUUAAUUUUGUAAACAUGUUUCUCGUUUGUCGCGUCAUAUCCACCUCAUGUCCGGGUGGAUUGAAAAAGCAAAAGGCUAGAAGAAAAGUAUUCUAUUCUUAGUAAAGUCAAUACGCACUCCGUGACGUCCCCUCCAGAACUUCCUAGUAAAGUUCGAUUCUUCACUCUCAAAAUCUCCAUACCCAACAGCUCUAUCUACUCCUUUUACGCGUCCCCACAACAGCUAUAUAUAUGCACACACAAGGUGUUCAUCCUCACAUCUUCACAUCUUACUACAAAUUAAGUUUUAUUCACAUUAAUUUUCAUUAACAUCCUUGUGUUGCGACAGCCAUGAUUAACUGCAAUGUGUAUGAACGCAUUUUCAAGCGCUUCGAUGAGGAUGGUGAUGGGAAACUCUCUCCUUCGGAGCUCCGACGCUGCUUGGGGACGAUAGGGGAGGAGUUGCUGAUGGAGGAGGCGCAGGAGGUGGUGGAGUCGAUGGACUCGGACGGAGAUGGGUUGCCGGGAUAGGAGGAAUUUGUGGGGUGGAUGGAGAGAGAGGGUGAAGACAGAAAGAUGAAGGAGUUGAGAGAGGCCUUUAGAAUGUAUGAGAUGGAAGGGAGUGGGUGUAUUACUGCAAAGAGCUUGAAGAGGAUGCUGAGUAGAUUGGGGGAGUCAAGAAGUGUGGAAGAGUGCAGUGUUACGAUCGGACAGUUUGAUGUAAAUGGGGAUGGGGUUCUGAGCUUUGAUGAGUUCAAGCUCAUGUUGCUUUAAUCUUGUUUGAUACCUUCCAUGUGAAUUUUGUAUUAUUUUUAGGUUUAUAAGAGUG
rnacentral:lncRNA from 1 species